UGGGGAAUAUUGGACAAUGGGCGCAAGCCUGAUCCAGCCAUGCCGCGUGAGUGAUGAAGGCCCUAGGGUUGUAAAGCUCUUUCACCGGUGAAGAUAAUGACGGUAACCGGAGAAGAAGCCCCGGCUAACUUCGUGCCAGCAGCCGCGGUAAUACGAAGGGGGCUAGCGUUGUUCGGAUUUACUGGGCGUAAAGCGCACGUAGGCGGACUUUUAAGUCAGGGGUGAAAUCCCGGGGCUCAACCCCGGAACUGCCUUUGAUACUGGAAGUCUUGAGUAUGGUAGAGGUGAUUGGAAUUCCGAGUGUAGAGGUGAAAUUCGUAGAUAUUCGGAGGAACACAGUGGCGAAGGCGGCUCACUGGACCAUUACUGACGCUGAGGUGCGAAAGCGUGGGGAGCAAACAGG
rnacentral:rRNA from 1 species